rnacentral:rRNA from 1 species
UACGUAGGGCGCAAGCGUUGUCCGGAAUUAUUGGGCGUAAAGAGCUCGUAGGCGGUCUGUCGCGUCUGGUGUGAAAACUCGAGGCUCAACCUCGAGCUUGCAUCGGGUACGGGCAGACUAGAGUGCGGUAGGGGAGACUGGAAUUCCUGGUGUAGCGGUGGAAUGCGCAGAUAUCAGGAGGAACACCGAUGGCGAAGGCAGGUCUCUGGGCCGCAACUGACGCUGAGGAGCGAAAGCAUGGGGAGCGAACA